rnacentral:rRNA from 1 species
GACGAACGCUGGCGGCGUGCUUAACACAUGCAAGUCGAACGGAAAGGCCCUGCUUUUGUGGGUUGCUCGAUUGGCGAACGGGUGAGUAACACGUGAGUAACCUGCCCUUGACUUUGGGAUAACUUCAGGAAACUGGGGCUAAUACCGGAUAGGAGCUCCUGCUGCAUGGUGGGGGUUGGAAAGUUUCGGCGGUUGGGGAUGGACUCGCAGCUUAUCAGCUUGUUUGUGGGGUAGUGGCGUACCAAGGCUUUGACGGGUAGCCGGCCUGAGAGGGUGACCGGCCACAUUGGGACUGAGAUACGGCCCAGACUCCUACGGGAGGCAGCAGUGGGGAAUAUUGCACAAUGGGCGGACGCCUGAUGCAGCAACGCCGCGUGCGGGAUGACGGCCUUCGGGUUGUAAACCGCUUUCGCCUGUGACGAAGCGUGAGUGACGGUAAUGGGUAAAGAAGCACCGGCUAACUACGUG